GGGCCUAUAGCUCAGUCGGUUAGAGCACCUGACUCAUAAUCAGGUGGUCCCAGGUUCAAGUCCUGGUGGGCCCA
rnacentral:tRNA from 3 species